UCCGCCGGACCACGUUGAUCUGGCAGACUCGGGGGUUUCCGGGCUGCACGUUUCGGCACAAUGGCAGCGCACUGCGUCGCGUAUGGCUGUACUAAUUACUUUUACGGCAAAGAGGCGGUGAAGUUUUUUGUAUUUCGGUCAGCGAAACUGUAUCCCCAGAAGCGAGAUGGUUGGAUUACUGCGGUAAAAAGGAAGAAUUAAGACGGUUCGUUGUGGCAACCGAACGAACAUUCACGCAUUGGCAGCGCGCAUUUUAUUGCAGGGUGGCCGUCAACCUUUAAGAAUCAUCCCGAGUACGUGCCAAAUAUGUUCUGCUACAAGAGAACUCCGGGCCAGGCAGGUGCGGAUCAGCACAGCCAUUCGCUUAAAAACCAAGGUGCUGGCAUGAAUGAAAAUACAUCUGCAGCCCAGCCGGGGCUACUAAUUACCAUGCAACAGCCUGCAUCCCCAUCACCGGCUCAAGGGGAAACCACUAAAGGAAUUCGGUCACUAUACUACGUCAGUAUAAAGACAUUUAGGUAUAUGUAGCAUAGGCAUUAUGAAUCGUAACCUGACAUUAAUGUUUCCUGUGCUGAGUUUACUUUAAUCCUCCCUGGAAUUUGUCUCAGCAUUAUAUAACACUGCACUUUAUUUUCCACAUUAACAAGAGUUUUCUGCGAAUAAUACAGAAAUACACCAUCAAAGAUCAUCAUCAGCCUAACUGCGCCCACUGCUGGGCAAAGGCCUCUCCCAUAUUUCUUCAAUAACCUGAUCGUGUGCUAGCUGCAGCCUUUGUUAUCCCGGCAACCUCCUUAAUCUCAUCCACCCACCUAACAUUCGACGUCCCCUGCUAUGCUUGCCAUGCCUUGGAAUGAGCCCGUUACUCUUAAUGCCCAUCGGCUAUAUUGCCUUCUUGGUUUCCACCAAGCCGUCAUCAACACGGAUUUGUUCCCCGACCCCUCCUGUUCUUUUCUUGUCUCUUAACAUUACACCUAUAAUUCCUUUCCAUAACUCACUGCAAUUAUCACUGGCAUGAAACUGCACUUUCAGCAUUUUAGUCCCGUUUUUUUUCUAUAGUGCACCUUGGCAAGCGUUAUGUUUGGCUUUGAAACAAAGCUGGGUCCGUGAUCAUUUUCUAACCGGAGCGGAGUGAGCAUGGGUUAUUAUAAGUCAACAUUAGGUUGGUUUCGUGCUGUUGAACGUCCCAAAUCGACUCAGUCCAUGAGGGACACCGUAGUGGAGCGCUCUGGAAAUUUUGACCACCUGGGGUUCUUUAACGUGCACCGACAAAGCACAAUACACGGGCCCCUUGCAUUUUGCCUCCAUCGAAAUGCGACCACCGUGGUAUGACACUCUUAAGAUUCCUGUGCCGUAUGCAGUACAGCUAUGGAAACAGUGGUUGUCUCUAGGCAACCAAUAUGUUCUAUCACAGGACCUCUCCUACCCGAGUGAAAGUGACAGUUUGUUUCUUUUUGCCAUCAUUUGCCGAUACCAAGCCAUUGCGGGCACCGCUGCCAGAAUGCAGUUGUCAACAGUGCAGUUGUGGCAACGUGAGACGCAUGGAGCGCACUCUCGGUGAACUGCAGAAAGUUGCUAUCGAGCUUCAGAACAGAAACCUAAGGCUUGAAAACAAGCUUGAAAGGGUAGAGUCAAGACUUCUCACAGUAAAAAUACUGCAUGAUCCAAGCAAAUGCAUGCAUUAUGUUGGACUUCCAAACAUUGGAGUUUUCCAAAGCUUACUGGACUACCUAACC